GUAUGAAAUGAUGGCCUACCAUCUUUCGGGACUGACUUGUCAUGGAGAGAUUAUUUAAACAUGACUGAUCAUAC